rnacentral:rRNA from 1 species
UACAGAGGAGCCAAGCGUUGUCCGGAUUGACUGGGCGUAAAGCGCACGCAGGCGGACGCGCGCGUGGGGUGUGAAAUCUGGCCGCUUAACGGCCAGGCGCCAUCCCAUACGGCGCGUCUGGAGCAAUGCAGAGGUCGGUGGAAUUGCCGGUGUAGCGGUGAAAUGUGUAGAGAUCGGGAGGAACACCGGUGGCGAAGGCGGGUCUCUGGGCAUCUCCUGACGCUGAGGCGCGAAAGCGUGGGGAGCAAACGGG